rnacentral:rRNA from 1 species
GACGAACGCUGGCGGCGUGCUUAACACAUGCAAGUCGAACGGAAAGGCCCUGCUUUUGUGGGGUGCUCGAGUGGCGAACGGGUGAGUAACACGUGAGUAACCUGCCCUUGACUUUGGGAUAACUUCAGGUAACUGGGGCUACUACCGGAUAGGAGCUCCUGCUGCAUGGUGGGGGUUGGAAAGUUUCGGCGGGUGGGGAUGGGCUCGCGGCUUAUCAGCUUGUUGGUGGGGUAGUGGCUUACCAAGGCUUUGACGGGUAGCCGGCCUGAGAGGGUGACCGGCCACAUUGGGACUGAGAUACGGCCCAGACUCCUACGGGAGGCAGCAGUGGGGAAUAUUGCGCAAUGGGCGGAAGCCUGAUGCAGCAACGCCGCGUGCGGGAUGACGGCCUUCGGGUUGUAAACCGCUUUCGCCUGUGACGAAGCGUGAGUGACGGUAAUGGGUAAAGAAGCACCGGCUAACUACGUG